rnacentral:lncRNA from 1 species
CUAGGCUGAACUCUAUGGAGUCAAGGUCACGGUCUGUUUUGCUCCCAGCGCUAUCUAAAACACUGCAUGGUGCCCAGCAGACAGUAGAUCUCAUUACAUUCUCCCCUGCAAGCAGAUGUAGUCAUGUGGCUGAGUCUGGCCCAUGUGACUGAAUGCUGCUGGAAGUGAAGUACUUCUAGGGCUGAUCUGUGUGGCCCCUUCUACAGAGAACUCUGAGGCCCCAGGGAAGAGCAGAGCCACGGAUGGAGGGUGCCUGGUCCGCUGAAUGACUGUGUGGAACAGAGCUCAGCCCUCCCCACUCCAGUGGACUUUACCCCUUUUCCCAAGUGGGAAAUAAACCUCUA